rfam:Salmo salar isolate Sally breed double haploid chromosome ssa04, whole genome shotgun sequence.
UCCUAUGUAGCUCAGUUGGUAGAGCAUGGCACUUGCAACACUAGGAUUGUGGGUUUGAUUCCCAUUGGGAA